CCUUGCCAGCCCGCUCAAGAACUUAAGGAAUUGACGGGACCCGCACAAGCAGCGGAGCGUGUGGUUUAAUUCGAUGCUACACGAAGAACCUUACCAAGGUUUGACAUGUAAGUGGUAGUGAUCUGAAAAGUGAACGACCCUUCGGGGAGCUUACACAGGUGCUGCAUGGCUGUCGUCAGCUCGUGUCGUGAGAUGUUCGGUUAAGUCCGCUAACGAGCGCAACCCUCACUGUGUGUUACAUGUGUCACACGGGACUGCCGGUUUUAAGCCGGAGGAAGGCGAGGAUGACGUCAAGUCAGCAUGGCCUUUAUAUCUUGGGCUACACACACGCUACAAUGGUCUGUACAAUAGGUUGCCAAGCCGCGAGGCGGAGCCAAUCCUUAAAGCAGGCCUCAGUUCAGAUUGCAGGCUGCAACCCGCCUGCAUGAAGAUGGAGUUGCUAGUAACCGCAGGUCAGCUAUACUGCGGUGAAUACGUUCCCGGGUCUU
rnacentral:rRNA from 1 species